rnacentral:rRNA from 1 species
CCUACGGCGGGCAGCAGUGGGGAAUAUUGGGCAAUGGGGGGAACCCUGACCCAGCGACGCCGCGUGGGUGAAGAAAUCCUUCGGGAUGUAAAGCCCUGUUGUAUGGGAAGAGCAGAAGACGGUACCAUACGAGGAAGCCCCGGCAAACUACGUGCCAGCAGCCGCGGUAAUACGUAGGGGGCAAGCGUUGUACGGAAUUACUGGGCGUAAAGCGCACGCAGGCUGAAUUAUAAGUCGGUAGUGAAAGGCGGAGGCUCAACUUCCGUUU